rnacentral:rRNA from 1 species
UACGUAGGUGGCAAGCGUUGUCCGGAUUUAUUGGGUUUAAAAGGGUGCGUAGGCGGCCUUGUAAGUCAGUGGUGAAAUACUCCAGCUUAACUGGAGGGGUGCCAAUGAUACUGCAGGGCUUGAGUACAGAUGAGGUAGGCGGAAUUGACGGUGUAGCGGUGAAAUGCAUAGAUAUCGUCAAGAACACCGAUAGCGAAGGCAGCUUACUGGGCUGUAACUGACGCUGAGGCACGAAAGUGUGGGGAUCAAACAGG